rnacentral:misc_RNA from 1 species
AUGUUGUACAUAUAUGUAUACUUAUCUUACAAAGUCAAAGACAUGGAUAACUCCGAUUCAUCCGAGGAAUUUUUUGACGCAAGAUCGGAGCAAUUCGACACAACACCAUUAGAAAUGGACCUCACAACAUCUCUCAAGGAGGGAAAACUAGCCAUCAACUAUUUCUUUGAUAACAGAUUUGAGGAGGCUCGGAAACUAUUAAAACCUUUUACUGGAUUGAGUCUAUAUCAUUCAUUGGGCACUGCAGUGUUUGCAUUUCUUGAGGCAAUGCUUACUUUUGAGCACGUUGACGAAGCAUCUGCCGAACUUAAAAGGUGUAUAGACCUCUGCCAACGUUUGCGAAGAAAAAACACUUUAGCGGAAGCAAUCAGCAAUACUUUCAAAAAAAGAAAUUUCAACAGUCUCACAGAUCUGGAAUGCCACGCAGAGCUCUGUAUGGCCGAAGUGUUGCUGAUGAGCGCGUUGCUCACUUUUAUCGAGGACGAAAAUCUCAGUGGACUCAUCCGUGGCAGUUUACAAGUCCGUCAAUGCUAUAAUUGUUUUAGCAUUGUUUUUCAGAUUCUGUGGACAAAUAAUGAAACACCGCACAUGGGAAUCGAGUCCAACGAGCGUAAAAAUUCAUUUUCGAAGCGGAGUACAUCUGGGAAUUGGUACUUUUAACCUGAUGAUAUCUAUGCUGCCUGUUCGCGUUAUUAAAGUACUGCAAUUCAUUGGGUUCUCUACUAAUAGGGUAAGCACCACAUAACGACAGAGUCCUUACCAGCAUUUAUUUUAAGUGACCCUGUUUAGAAGGAUGGGUUAAAUGAUCUACGCACAGGAUAUCAAGAAAACGGAUUACGGCAAAUAUUAUGUGCACUAUCAUUGUUGGGCUAUUAUCUAAUGGUUAUACCCAUGCUCAGCGCUAAACAUUCCACGAAUGAUCUCAAUUUAUGUGAUGAGAUACUGACUAGCCAGUUGGCAAAAUAUCCGAAUGGUGUUUGGAUGUUGUUCUUUAAGGGGAGAUUUGAAUUAAUCCAAGGCCAUUUAGAUGCCGCUGAGUCGUGGUAUGUGCGGUCAUGGAAAUCUCAGGAUGCCUGGCCCCAAUUUCACUAUUUGAGCUUUUGGGAACUGUUAUGGAUCAAUUGUAUACAGCAGAAGUGGAGUGAUGCUCAAUUUUAUGCUAGUCAAUUACUCGAGAAGAGUAAGUGGUCACGAUCUAUAUAUACCUAUCAGUUAGCUGCCAUCAAAUUAAUGUUAAACCCAAAAUCGGACGAAGACAAAAGCGAAAUUAAAAAGUUAAUGUUGGAGGUUCCAGCGUACAGGCAAAAAAUCGCUGGGAAAUCUUUGCCAAUGGAGAAAUUUAUGGCUGGCCGGUCUAUCCGAUAUAAUAGCCAGAAUAAUAGACUCGUCUUGCCCCUGAUUGAGUUGAUGUACCUAUGGAAUAUCUUUAAAUUUAUUGGAAAAAAUUACCAAAUGGCUGAUAGUCUUCUACAAAUCAUAAAUGGGGAGCUCGCUAUGUUUGACAAACCAUCUACUGAUUUAUAUUACGCUGAUAAUCGUGCACUAUGCCUUCUGCUACGAGGAUCGUGCUAUGUCCAAAUGGGUGAAUCUGUAUUAGCUUUACAGGAUUUCACUGAAUGCAUUCAUCAAAAUGGAAUUGUCGAAGAUCACUUUAUAAUCCCAUAUGCCUACGUAGAAUGUGCUCUUUGUCACGCAGCUAAUGAUCCAGCUCUGGCAAUAUCCAUUCUGCAGGACACUAA